rnacentral:misc_RNA from 1 species
GUGUGGGGCGGGCUUGCCCGCGAUAGCGGAGUGUCAGUCAAUGUAUUAGGUGGCUGAUCCACUGCCAUCGCGGGCAAGCCCGCUCCCACU